rnacentral:rRNA from 1 species
AGUGAACGCUGGCGGUAGGCCUAACACAUGCAAGUCGAACGGCAGCACAGUAAGAGCUUGCUCUUACGGGUGGCGAGUGGCGGACGGGUGAGGAAUACAUCGGCAUCUACUUUUUCGGGGGGGAUAACGUAGGGAAACUGACGCUACUACCGCAUACUACCUACGGGUGAAAGCAUGGGAUCUUCGGACCUUGCGCGAUUGAAUGAGCCGAUGUCGGAUUAGCUAGUUGGCUGGGUAAAGGCCCACCAAGGCGACGAUCCGUAGCUGGUCUGAGAGGAUGAUCAGCCACACUGGAACUGAGACACGGUCCAGACUCCUACGGGAGGCAGCAGUGGGGAAUAUUGGACAAUGGGCGCAAGCCUGAUCCAGCCAUACCGCGUGGGUGAAGAAGGCCUUCGGGUUGUAAAGCCCUUUUGUUGGGAAAGAAAAGCAGCAGAUUAAUCCCCCGCUGUUCUGACGGUACCCAAAGAAUAAGCACCGGCUAACUUCGUG